rnacentral:rRNA from 1 species
GACAGAGGCCCCGAGCGUUAGGCGGAAUCACUGGGCUUAAAGCGUGUGUAGGCGGCUCGUUAAGUGUCUUGUGAAAUCCCACGGCUCACCCGUGGAACCGCUGGGCAUACUGGCGAUCUCGGGCCAUUCAGGGGCGACUGGAACAAACGGUGGAGCGGUGAAAUGCGUAGAUAUCGUUUGGAAUGCCGAUGAUGAAAACAGGUCGCUGGGGUUGUGCUGACGCUGAGACACGAAAGCCAGGGGAGCGAACGGG